AACGCACCUUGCACCCUUUGGUAUUCCGAAGGGUACACCCGUUUGAGUGUCAUUGUAAUCUCACUAUGUUCGACUUUUUGUCGUUUGUAUGUGGACCUGGAUGUUGCUGUUGGUUUUCGACGGCUCGUCUGAAAUGCCUGAGUGUACCCCGCUUUGCGGCGUAUUCGGUGUGAUAUAUUGUCACCGGAGUUGAUCCUUUUGGGUCGCGUCUGUAGGAGUGUGGCUCUAUGCUUUCCAACCGUCCCUUCACCGGGACAAUCUUCUUGACAAUUUGACCUCAAAUCGGGUGGGACUACCCGCUGAACUUAA
rnacentral:misc_RNA from 1 species